AGUGAACGCUGGCGGUAGGCCUAACACAUGCAAGUCGAACGGCAGCACAGUAAGAGCUUGCUCUUACGGGUGGCGAGUGGCGGACGGGUGAGGAAUACAUCGGAAUCUACUUUUUCGUGGGGGAUAACGUAGGGAAACUUACGCUAAUACCGCAUACGACCUACGGGUGAAAGCAGGGGAUCUUCGGACCUUGCGCGAUUGAAUGAGCCGAUGUCGGAUUAGCUAGUUGGCGGGGUAAAGGCCCACCAAGGCGACGAUCCGUAGCUGGUCUGAGAGGAUGAACCGCCCAAACGGGACAGGGGCACGGGUCAAGCCCCCAGGGGGGGGCAGAAGUGGGAAAUUUGGAACAGGGGGCGAAGGCCUGACCCAGCCAUCCGGGGUGGGGGAAGAGGGCCUUGGGUUGGUAAAGCCCUUUUGUGGGGAAAAAAAAGAAGCAGGUUAAAACCCCGCUGUUCGGAGGGACCCAAAAAAAAAAGCACGGCCAAACUUCGU
rnacentral:rRNA from 1 species